rnacentral:rRNA from 1 species
AACGAACGCUGGCGGCAUGCCUAACACAUGCAAGUCGAACGAGACCUUCGGGUCUAGUGGCGCACGGGUGCGUAACGCGUGGGAACCUGCCCUUAGGUUCGGAAUAACUCCCCGAAAGGGGUGCUAAUACCGGAUAAUGUCUUCGGACCAAAGAUUUAUCGCCUUUGGAUGGGCCCGCGUUGGAUUAGCUUGUUGGUAGGGUAAAAGCCUACCAAGGCGACGAUCCAUAGCUGGUCUGAGAGGAUGAUCAGCCACACUGGGACUGAGACACGGCCCAGACUCCUACGGGAGGCAGCAGUGGGGAAUAUUGGACAAUGGGCGAAAGCCUGAUCCAGCAAUGCCGCGUGAGUGAUGAAGGCCUUAGGGUUGUAAAGCUCUUUUAACCGGGAUGAUAAUGACAGUACCGGGAGAAUAAGCGCCGGCUAACUCCGUG